rnacentral:lncRNA from 10 species
CUCACAGAAAACACUUGAUGGAAUCUUACUAGACUAACUGUAUAUAUUCCUGAGCACACUCCAAGACCUGGGAGAGGCAGAAAGAAAGAAGAAAUGCAAGUCUACAAUAUGAGAUACAAAGUUUGAAUUUACUGGGAAAGCAAAGAGAACACAUCCGAACAAAAUAAGAAGAAGAAAUGAGGUCAGGAACAGAAGAAGGGUGAAAACAGAGUCAACCUCAAAAGCAAACCUAGUACCACAGAACCAGGGAUGGACAUGGGGAAAGCCAUAUUGAAGUUCCACUGCACAGCAAAGCCUGAACCGUCUCUUAUUGACUCAGCUUACAUUCAAGAAGAAGCGCUUGCUUUUCUUUCCCCACUCCACGCUAUUCCAAUCUGUUGCCCUCUGAUAUUCCCAGCCGUUUGCCGAGUCACAUUCUCUACUACCCUUUCACCACACACUCUCACAGCUGCUGGGCAGCUCUCCAAGUCCUCUCCAGUCCUCAACGCUCCAACUUCAUCUGCAGCUUUAGCAGUAAGGUGCCAGGGAACAACUACUGAUAAAAUUGCCUUGCAGGUGCCUGGCAUUGUUCAUUGCUAUUUCACGCAUCCUAACCAUAAUUCUUCAAAGAAAACCUUGUUCCCACUCCCUGGAUGCAAGAAAAGGAGCCUUACAGGGAGCAAAAUACAAUGACCGGACUGAUUUGAACCCACGUCUGUCUGACCUCAAAGUCCUGGAUCUUCUCACAACAUUGUGCUGCCUCCUAGUGGAAUGUUUGUCUUUGGCCUACUUUUAUAGUGCACAAUACCAAAAGAAGUCGUUAUAAUUUUUAACUGCUUUUAAAAUAAAAAGAAUGUUGAUAUCUAGUUCCUGUACGGGGCAUGCUGUGGAGCUUAAAAAGGGAUUUACUUUCUUCUUAGAUUUUCAGCUAUCUACUGUUGGUGAGAGAGGGUAGAUCAAUAAGCUGUCUGCAUCAAAUCCUAUGGUUACUUUUUGUGGGGAAUAGAGCAUCUUUUUUUUAUAAUUCUAAUAUAAGGUAUCACAUGGAAAUCACUGGGCAUGGCUUAAUAAAAUGAUCCUAGGAUGAUAGAUAUUCAACAAAAACAGGAUGGAGGAAUGAACAAAAGCUCAAAAUAGCAAUGUUACUGAAAUAACAGUAACAAUACCACCUACUCUGUACCAGCAGUGUUCACAUUACUUUUCAGAUGCUGAGCCCUUUAAUCUCCUAUGAGGCAAGCAUUCCUGUCUAUUUUAUAUGUGAAGAAUCUGAGGCUUAGAGAAAUCAACUAACCCGUCCAAGGACACAGAACUCAUGAGAAUAG